rnacentral:rRNA from 1 species
CUACGGGUUGCUCCAGUGAGGAAUAUUGCACAAUGGGGGGAACCCUGAUGCAGCAACGCCGCGUGGAGGAUGACGCAUUUCGGUGUGUAAACUCCUUUUAUAUGUCAAGAAAAUGACGGUAGCAUAUGAAUAAGCGCCGGCUAACUCCGUGCCAGCAGCCGCGGUAAUACGGAGGGCGCAAGCGUUACUCGGAAUCACUGGGCGUAAAGGACGCGUAGGCGGGUUGAAAAGUCAGGUGUGAAAGACUACAGCUUAACUGUAGAACUGCACUUGAAACUCUCAAUCUAGAGUAUGGGAGGGGCAGAUGGAAUUAGUGGUGCAGGGGUAAAAUCCGUAGAUAUCACUAGGAAUACCUAAAGCGAAGGCGAUCUGCUGGAACAUUACUGACGCUAAGGCGUGAAAGCGUGGGGAGCAAACAGGAUUAGAUACCCCGGUAGUC